UCAAAAGGAGAACUUCUUUCAAGAACACAUGUACUUCAUUGGAGAAAAUUCCUAUGACAAACCUCAAAUCAGGCAUCUGAAGUUUUGGACGAGGACACAGCUCAAUUACUAUGCCUCUGUGUUGUGUGGAAUAAACAAGAUUUUCCAGCACAUGCAUAUUCCUCAUGUUGAGCUUGAAGCAAUACCAUGCCUAGCUCCAGUUCUCAACGUCCUUCAUGAAGCUGGACUUCUCCCCAUGUGCUCUGGUAUCUGUGAUUGGAACAGUGAGCUUAUUCUUCAAUUUUAUGCCACUCUUCACAUAUCUGGGGAUCCAGCAGAUAUCAACACUUGGGUGUUUGACUGGAUGACGCAAACAACACACCACAAGGCUCCUGCCAUUGAGCUUCUGCGUGAACUGCCAGUAUCAAUUCCUUCAGAACAAGCGGUGAAGCUUUAUGAUGAACGUGAGCUGCCCAACGGGAUGAUGGAAGUCCUCAUGAAGCCUUUGGCUAAAGGGAAACCACCGAGAAAAACCUUCCUCAUCCACGAGUCAAAUAUGAACCAAGGACUGUUUACAGAAUCCUCAGCAGCGUCCUUGCGCCAAUCAAGGGAGACAUGAUGAUGAAGAAGACGUUGUAGGCCUCAUGAAGAAUAUCCUCUUCAACAUCACUCAUGGUAUUCCUAUCAACAUCCAUGAUUGCUUCUUCAGGACUUUGGCCGACAAUGCACUAUGUCCUUUUGACCAGAAGAUAUAUGCUCCAUGGAUCAUGAGAUUCAUCAGGAAAAGGACAGGCAUCAACUUUUAUGCAGAUUGCAACAACCAUGUUGGUUACAUGCCUCCUAUCAGGGUCAACAAGAAGACUUUCGAGCCUGUUGAAGAAAAAGGCAAGUCUGUCAUUGAUGAAGGCAGUAGGCCCCUUGAUGGCCAGUUCAGAGAGCCUGAGCCAUAUUCUUCAUGGGAUGAUACUGAGACUCAUCCUCCAAGCCCCGUUGCUCCUCGCGUGCUGAAUACUAGAGAGCUUCUCCUCGGUGUUCACCAGAAGGUGGAUCGAAAUCACAAGUGGGUCAAACGCCAGUUCGGCGCCAUUGUGAAAACCCUCACUGAAACGCAGAAUUCUGUGAAGCUUAACCAUCACUAUCUUCAUGAGGUUUUUGAUCACACCUGGGCUACACUUACUCAUCUGAAGACUCCGGCAGAACUUGAAGAAUUGGAGUUUGAGCGAGACUUUGACUGGUCGUGGCCACCAAAGAAGAAGUUCAGGCCAAUUCCAGUUCCAGACCUUGAGGACAGUUCUUUUUCUUCAUUUUGCACUGCUGAAUCUGAUGAAGAACAACAAGACACUGCCACCGAUCCAAGGAAGAAGACUGCUCCAAAGAAUCCUAACGCAUCUUCAUCAACCGCCAAGGAGUGAAGUCUUCACGGGCAUUAGUCCUCAGUUUGUCCCUUUUUGUCACUUGAUGACAAAGGGGGAGAAACUUGAGAUUUAGUCUUCAAGCGGGAUAUUUUGGGGCUAGUGAACUAUAUUGAAGUUACAAACUCUUGGCUCUUCUGAAGUGUUUAUGUAAUGAGUUGUAACUUAAGCCCGAUGGUACUCUGACGCUUUUGAAUGUUUUUCUUCGCAUGCUUAUUCCUCAAAAUUUUAAUGCACGCAUGCUGGAAUUCGUCGGAUACCAAUUGUCAGCAUGCAUCUUCAAUUUCUUCAUACUAUAUGUCAUAUGUAUGCAUGAUUUACAAGACUGAGGGGGAGAUCUCCAUGAUAUAAAUCAUCAAUGUGCAUUUGCUGUGAAAAGAAAAAUCCACAAGAUAUGCACAUCUUCCGGGGGAGUCCCUCUGAAUCUUGAUUUCAAAUUCCUCAAAUGAGUAUUUACACUUCAUAUUUUUAUCCCUGUUGAAGACUUAACCUAAUUGUCAUCAACCACCAAAAAGGGGGAGAUUGUAAGUGCAUCUAGUGCCCCUUAGUGAUUUUGGUGGUUUGAAGACUUAUAGGUUAAGUAUCUAAUGUGUUCAUGAGUGUACACAGGAUCUAUAAGUCACUGAGGAGUUUGAAAUAUUUGAUGAAUAUCGACCCCUAAAAAUGUAUAUCUUCGGUUGAAGAAAUUGGUCUGAAGCUGAAGAAUUGAAUCGUGAAGAAUCUGCGAUGAAAUUGAUAUUCCUCAUGAAGAUAUUGAAAUUGAGGAAUUCGGUGUGUCCUGAAGAAAAUCAUUCUGAAGACUUUGAAGCAUGAAGAUUUACUCUUUCUAUUUUGUUUUGUUCACACUUGAGUAAUAGGAACAUUGUACUGUUAAAGGGGGUCGAGGUAACACUUUGGAAUGAAUUUCCUCAUGAUGCUCAACCCAAGCCUAAUCCUACCAAAAGCCUCAAGUGAGGAAUAUGAGUGACAUGAGGACUCUCAUAGUUGAGGGUUCCGACCGUUUCGAUAGCCACGCCACAUCAUUAGUAUUAUCCACACCAACGGUCAUAUUAUUUAAGGGCAUUAGUGUCAAAUCAUGUUGGGAUGCUCCCAGGAUAUAAAUAGCUGCCCCCACAACCAUUAGCUGGUUGGCUGCUCCACUAGAAACUGACACUUGUCAUAAGAGCAACCCAAAUUCCUCAGAGUCUUCGAGAGUAAUUCAUCAGUGAGGAAAUACCCCAAACACCAAACCACAAACCGAGAACCAAGUGAUUGAGCAUCACUGAAGAAGUUGUUCCUGUGUGGGACUGAAGCCUUUUACCUUUGAGGACUGUGCAUCAUCGAGACGGUUAGGCGUCAUGGUCUAGAGCAAUCAAGCAGUCAAUUGUGGAUCGCCGGGUGAACAAGUUUGUGAGGGUUUGGAAGUCUGCCCUCAAGACUUACCACGAGUGUUGGGCGAGGACUGUGUGUUCUUAGCCCAAGGAGAACACGAUAGGGACUGUGUGUCCCAGGACUGUGUGUCUUUUGGUUUUAAUACCAAGCCGCUCCAAACCAGAUGUACAACUGUCACAUCAGUUGGAACUGGGUCAUCAACUACUGUCUUCACUGUGAAACGGGUUCUAAUUCCUCAACUCUUUAUAUUCCUCAGAUUAUGUGUUGAUGACUUUCACUAUCACUGUUUGAAGAAUUUGCUGAGGACUUUUUCUGAAAUUCCUCAACCCCAAAUUCUUCACGCAAGUUAAUCCUCAUCUGUUUUCUGCGUGCCUGCUUACUAUGCAAUCUGUUUUCACAUUCCUCAUACUGAAAAAUUGUUGUAGUGAAACUUUGCACUCCUGAUCCUUUACUAUUUCCGCUGUGAGUUAGUCAUCACUGAGGAAUUUCCUCAAAAGGAAGUUUCUCAGUGAUGAAAUUCUAAAAAUCUCCUAUGCACCCCCCUCUAGUCGAUAUAACGCACUUUCACCUUUUAUCGACCAAAUGCUAGAAAGACUGUCUAAACACACACACUUCUGCUUUCUAGAUGGUUAUUUUGGUUUCUCCCAAAUACCAGUUGCACAAUCUGAUCAGGAGAAAACCACUUUCACGUGCCCUUUCGGUACCUUUGCUUACAGACGUAUGCCUUUUGGCUUAAGUAAUGCACCUGCCACCUUUCAAAGAUGUAUGAUGGCUAUAUUCUCUGACUUUUGUGAAAAGAUUGUUGAGGUUUUCAUGGAUGACUUCUCCGUUUACGGGUCUUCUUUUGAUGAUUGCCUCAGCAACCUUGAUCGAGUCUUGCAGAGAUGUAAAGACACCAAUCUUGUCUUGAAUUGGGAGAAGUGCCACUUUAUGGUUAAUGAAGGCAUCGUCUUAGGACAUAAAAUUUCUGAAAGAGGUAUUGAAGUCGAUAAGCCUAAGGUUGAUGCAAUCGAGAAAAUGCCAUACCCCAAAGGUAUCAAAGGUAUAAGAAUUUUCCUUGGUCAUGCUGGUUUCUAUAGAAGGUUCAUUAAAGACUUCUCUAAGAUUUCUAAGCCUGUUACCAAUCUCUUGCAAAAGGAUAUUACUUUUGUCUUUGACGAUGAUUGUGAGGAAGCCUUCGAAAUACUUUAGAAUGCUUUGAUAACUGCACCUAUUGUUCAACCACCUGAUUGGAACUUACCUUUUGAAAUCAUGUGUGAUGCUAGUGAUUAUGCUGUUGGUGCUAUCCUAGGGCAAAGAGUUGAUAAGAAGUUGAAUGCCAUUCACUACGCUAGUAAAACUCUAGACAGUGCCCAAAGAAACUAUGCUACUACGGAAAAGGAAUUUUUAGUAGUCGUGUUUGCAUGUGAAAAGUUCAGGUCUUACAUAGUUGAUUCCAAAGUCACUAUUCACACUGAUCACGCUGCUAUUAAGUACCUCAUGGAGAAGAAAGACGCUAAACCUAGACUCAUCAGACGGGUUCUCUUGCUACAAGAAUUUGAUUUGCACGUCGUCGACACGAAGGGUGCUGAUAACCCCGUAGCAGAUAACUUGUCUAGGUUGGAGAAUGUUCUUGAUGACACACAACCUAUUGAUGAUAGCUUUCCUAAUGAGCAAUUGAAUGUCAUCAAUGCUUCACGUAGUGCAUCGUGGUAUGUUGAUUAUGCAAACUAUAUCGUUGCCAAACAUAUACCACCUAGUUUCAUAUACCAGCAAAAGAAGAAAUUCUUCUUUGACUUGAAACAUUACUUUUGGGAUGAUCCUCACCUUUAUAAGGAAGGAGUAGAUGGUGUUAUUAGACGUUGUGUACCUGAACAUGAACAGGGACAGAUCCUACAGAAGUGUCACUCCGAGGCCUACGGAGGACACCAUGCGGGAGAUAGAACUGCACACAGGGUAUUGUAAUCAGGUUUCUAUUGGCCCACUCUCUUCAAGGAUGCCCGUAAGUUUGUAUUGUCUUGUGACAAAUUUCUAAGAAUAGGUAAUAUCGGUAAACGUCAGGAAAUGCCUAUGAACUAUUCACUUAUCAUUGAACCAUUUGAUGUCUGGGGCUUUGAUUAUAUGGGACCUUUUCCAAAAUCCAACGGGUAUACUCAUAUCCUAGUUGUUGUUGAUUACGUCACUAAGUUGGUAGAAGCUAUCCCCACUAGUAGUGCUGAUCACAACACCUCUAUCAGGAUUCUUAAAGAAGUUAUUUUCCCUAGAGUUGGAGUCCCUAGAUAUCUAAUGAUCGAUGGUGGUUCACAUUUCAUUCAUGGUGCUUUCCGUAAAACGCUUGCUAAGUACGAUGUCAACCUUAGAAUUGCGUCUCCCUAUCACCCUCAGUCUAGUGGUCAAGUAGAGCUAAGCAAUAAAGAGAUUAAACUGAUUCUGCAAAAGACUGUCACCAGGUCUAGAAAGAAUUGGUCUAAGAAGCUCGAUGAUGCACUAUGGGCUUAUAGAACUGCCUAUAAGAAUCCCAUGGGCAUGUCUCCGUUCAAAAUGGUGUAUGGUAAAGCAUGUCAUUUACCUCUUGAGUUAGAGCAUAAGGCUUAUUGGGCAAUCAAAGAACUCAACUUUGAUUUCAAACUUGCUGGUGAGAAGAGGCUAUUUGAUAUUAGCUCACUUGAUGAAUGGAGAACUCAGGCAUAUGAGAAUGCCAAGUUGUUCAAAGAAAAGGUUAAGAGGUGGCAUGAUAAAAGGAUACAAAAGCGUGAGUUCAAUGUAGGUGAUUAUGUCUUGCUAUAUAAUUCUCGUUUAAUAUUUUUUUGCAGGCAAGCUUCUCUCUAAAUGGGAAGGUCCUUACAUUGUUGAGGAAGUAUAUCGUUUCGGUGCUAUCAAGAUCAACAACACGGAAGGUAACUGUCCGAGAGUGGUAAAUGGGCAGAGAAUCAAGCACUAUAUCUCAGGUACUCCCAUAAAUGUUGAAAGCAAUAUUAUCAAUACCAUAACUCCAGAGGAAUACCUAAGGGAUGUUUCUCAGCCUGUUUCAGACUCCGAAAACAAAGAGGUAUGUGAUUCGGUAAGAAAAAAGACUUUCUCCAGUAAGAAUUUUUCUCCGUUUUGGAAUAUUUGAAAAAAUUGAAAAAAUUGCAGUAGUCCGGAAAGCGCAUGAGGAGGCGACAAGCCUGCGAGGCGCGGGCCACCCCCUGCCGCGCCUGGGGGCUUGUGGCCACCGCGUGUGCCUCCCGGACUCCGUUUGCAUGCGGAGUACUCCUUCUGGUCUCAAAAAAAUAAUUUUAUAUUCUCCCGUAAGGUCUGACCCUCGUAUCACACGAUUUUCCUCUGUUUUCGUUUCGAGCCUGUUUUCAGCCGCAGAUUUAGGGCAAGAUGUCUUCUCAAGAUUCAGAGGGGGAGAGCUAUGUGGCCGAUUACCUUGCCAACCCCAAGGUCUAUGGGGACUUGGAUCGUUAUGGUUGGACCACUGAUGAGGAAGAAGAUUAUGAUCCCAAGGGGAAGGAAGGAACAAGUUCCGAUGAAGAGGAGGCUCCUCUACCUCUGCCCGGAGACACCUAUGUGGAGUUCAAGAAGUCGAGCCUCCCUGACUCAAGGAAGAAGCCUAAGACUUUGUUUAUCCCUUCUUGUUUCUUGUAGGAGAGUAAGCAGGAAUUAUGCCAAAGGGUGUUGAGGCUUGAAGAGGAAAAUGAUGAUCUGAGGGAGCAUAAUUUUAUGCUCAAGUUGAAAUUAAACAAGCUCAAGACCUCUGCAACAACUCCACCAUCAUCACCUCCAAAGGAAGACAACUAAGCAUGGGUAUGGGCAAUCCCCUUGGCUUGUCACAAGAUUGGGGGAGUUGCCGCGGUGUCGUAUCACCAUCACAUCUUUUGCCUUUAACUUUGUUUUAGUUUGUCCCUUUUCAGUUUUCUCUUUCUCUAGUAGAAUAAAGGUCUUAGUGUUUUAGGCUUGAGUUUUGCUUUGUGUCUCCCCCGAUGUAUUCGAGCUCGUGAGCCAUAUAAUAAAGAGUGUCUUAGUUAAGGGCUUUGUCUCUUAUCAUGAUCAAAAGAUUGAGAAAAGAACAAAAGCAUGAAAGAUCAUGUAAUGAUCUUAUGGGAAGUGAUGGCUUCACAUAUAAGAAGAAUGAUGACUGAAACUUGUUGAGGGUAGACAAACGUAGACCUUGGUCAUUGUUGCAAUUAAUAGGAAGUGAUAAAGAAGGAGAGGUUCACAUAUAAAUAUAUCAUCUUUGACACCAUCUAUGAUUGUGAACACUCACUAAACUAUUGCAUGCUUAUAAGUAGAUGUUGGACAAGGAAGACAACAUAAUGAAUUGUGUUUGCUUGGUUCCGAACAAUGUUAUAUGAUUAGAGAUCCCUUAGCAUUUGACGAUUUCUUCCACCUCAUACUAGCCAAAACUCCCGCACCAAGUAGAGAUACUACUUGUGCAUCCAUAAACCUUCAACCCAGUUUUGCCAUGAGAAUCCACCAUACCUACAUAUGGAUUGAAUAAGAUCCCUCAAGUAAGUUGUCAUCCGUGCAAGCAAUAAAAAUUGCUCCCUAAUAUGUAUGAUCUAUUAGUGUGUGGAAAAUAAGCUUUGUACGAACCUGUGAUGAGGAAGACAUAAAAGCGACAGACUGCAUAAUAAAGUUCUUUAUCACAGGAGGCAAUAUAAAGUGACAUUCCACCGCACUAAGAGGACACGCAUCCAAACCUCAAAAGCGCAGUCAACCUCUGCUUCCCUCUGCGAAGGGCCUAUCUUGUACCUUUACCUUUUUCCCUUGAAAGAGUCAGGGUGAUCUUCACCAAUUCCUUAUUUCGCCUUUAUCUUGGCUAACGUCAUAUGCUUGGGAAGUAAGUAUUCAUGAAUUAUUAUUGUUAACAUUACCCUUGAGGUAAAUGGUUGGGAGGCAAAACUGUAAGCCCCUAUCUUUCUCUGUCUCCAGAUGAAACUUUGAUCUCAUGAGUACAACGUGAGUUGUAGAAAUUGUAGAGGACGAAAGGAUGAUUGAGUAUGUGGAUUUGAUUUACAAGCUCUUAUUUGACUCUUUCUGAUGUUGUGAUAAAUUGCAAUUGUUUCAAUGACCAAAGGCUAUCGGUUGUUACUUCUCGGUAAGGUUCUUGAUCCAUACUUUACUUUGUGAAGGAAUUGUCACUUUAGCAUGAGAGAUUAUAUGUUGGUAUUGCUGCUCUGAUCAUGAUCUUGAUGCCUGCAUGUUCGUACCUUGUUUUGUCGACACCUCUCUCCCUAAUCAUGUGGGCAUGUUUAUUGAUCCAGGCUUUCGCUUCACGACAAGCGAGGUCUAAACUUGGGGGAGUUGAUACGUCCAUUUUGCAUCAUGCUUUCAUGUUGAUAUUUAUCGCUUCUUGGGCUGUUAUUUCACUUCACAGUACAACACUUAUGCCUUUUCUCUCUUAUUUUGAAAGGUUUACAUGAAGAGGGAGAAUGCCGGCAGCUGGAAUUCUAGCCUGAAAAAGGAGCAAGUUUGAGAUGCCUAUUCUGCGCAACUCCAAAAGCCUUGAAAAUCAACGUGGCUUUUUUGGGGUUUAGAAAAAAUACUAGGCCGAAGAAGUGCCAGAGGGGCGCCAGCAGGUGGCCACAAGCCUGCUAGGCGCGGCCACCCCCCUGGCCGCGCCUAGGGGGCUUGUGAGCUCCCUGCUGGCCCACUGGCCCCCUCUUUUGCUACAAGAAGGGUUUCGGUCUGGAAAAAAUCAAGAGGAGGCUUUUCGGAGGAUUCGCCGCCGCCAUGAGGCGGAACUUGAGCAGAACCAAUCUAGACCUCCGGCAGGACGAUCCUGCUAGGGAAACUUCCCUCCCGGAGGGGGAAAUCGUCACCAUCGUCAUCACCAACACUCCUCUCAUCGGUGAGGACUCAUCACCAUCUACAUCUUCAUCAACACCAUCUCAUCUCCAAACCCUAGUUCAUCACUUGUAAAAAAUCUCCGUCUCGCGACUCCGAUUGGUACUUGUAAGGUUGCUAGUAGUGUUAAUUACUCUUUGUAGUUGAUGCUAUUUGGAUUACUUGGUGGAAGAGUUUAUGUUCAGAUCUUUGAUGCUACUCAUUACCUCUCUGGUCAUGAAUAUGAUUAUGCUUUCUGAGUAGUUACUUUUGUUCCUCAGGACAUGGGAUAAGUCAUGCUAUAAAUAGUCAUGUGAAUUUGGUAUUCGUUCGGUAAUUUGAUGUGUUGUAUGUUGUUUUUCCUCUAGUGGUGUUAUGUGAACGUUGACUACAUAACACUUCACCAUUAUUUGGGCCUAGAGGAAGGCAUUGGGAAGUAGUAAGUAGAUGAUGGGUUGCUAGAGUGACAAAAGCUUAAACUCCAGUUUAUGCGUUGUUUCGUAAGGGGCUGAUUUGGAUCCACUAGUUUAAUGCUAUGGUUAGACAUUGUAUUAAUUCUUAUUUCGUAGUUGCAGAUGCUUGCGAGAGGGGUUAAUCAUAUGUGGGAUGCUUGUCCAAGUAAGGGCAGUAUUUACCGUUGCUAUCAUACUACGUUGCUACUGAUACUUUGCUACAGAUAAUAAGUCUUUCAGGUGUGGUUGAAUUGACAACUCAACUGCUAGUACUCGAGAAUAUUCUUUGGCUUCCCCUUGUGUCAAAUCAACAAAUUUGGGUUGAAUACUCUACCCUUGAAAACUGUUGCGAUCCCCUAUACUUGUAGGUUAUCAAGACCUUUUUCUGGCGCCGUUGCCGGGGAAGCAUAGCUAUAUUCUCUGAGUCACUUGGGAUUUACGUCUGCUGAUCACUAUGAGGAAUCCAAAAGAUCCAAAAACUAAAGUCUUGCCCUCAACUAUGAGGACAGGUAAGGAACCGCCAUCUAGCUCUGCACUUGAUUCACCUUCAGUUAUGAGUAAGUUUGCGACACCACCUCCUGCUAGAAAUUUUGAUAUGUCGCAUGUGCUUGAUGAUGCUACUUCUGCUGUCCAUGAUGCUUGUGAUGAUGCUUUGCUUGAUACUGCUUUGCCACUAGGUGCAUCCCUUGAUGCACAAAUUGCUAGAGUUGCUGCUAGAUGUGAUGAUACUUCUGAAACUGCUGAGAUUAUUGAAGUAGAACCUGCUAUUUCGCGUGUUAGAACUAGCUAUCCUAGAUAUGAAUUGCGUGAUAUGCCUGAGGAUUAUGUUAUGGAGGGAGAGAUAGCUGAGGACUUUCUUGCUUGUAAGGAUAGCUAUGAUGUUGAGAAAUUACUACGCAAGUGGAAAGAAAAAUCUUUGAACACUAGGAUGAAAUAUGACCCAAAGUUUGCUACUUCACCUAUCUUUGUGACCGAUAAGGAUUAUGAAUUCUCUGUCGACCCUGAGUUAAUCACUCUGGUCGAAUCUGAUCCUUUUCAUGGUUAUGAGUCUGAAACGGUUGUAGCACAUCUUACCAAACUACACGAUAUAGCCACCCUAUUCACGAGUGAGGAAAAGAUCCGCCACGACUAUAUCCUUAAGAUGUUUCCUUUCUCGCUAAAGGAUGAUGCUAAGACUUGCUUCACUUCUCUUGCUCCUGGUUGUGUGCGUAGCCCCUAGGAUAUGAUCUACCACUUCUCUGAAAAAUAUUUCCCUGCCCGUAAGAAGUAAGCUGCCUUGCAGGAAAUAUACAACUUUGCGCAAGUUGAAGAAGAGAGUCUCCCACAAGCUUGGGGGAGGCUCGUCCAGCUGCUGAAUGCUUUGCCUGAUCACCCUCUUGAGAAGAAUGAAAUACUUGAUAUCUUCUAUAAUGGACUAACCGAUGCUUCUAGAGACCACCUAGAUAGUUGUGCUGGUUGUGUUUUUACGGAACGAACCAUAGAACAAGCUGAGAUCCUAUUGAAUAAUACCUUGUGCAAUGAGAAUGCUUGGACUAUUCCCGAACCACCUCCGAAGCCAACUCCUAAGAAAAGAGGUAUUCUAUUCCUCAGUCCUAAAGAUAUGCAAGAAGCUAAGAAAUCUAUGAAAGAGAAAGGCAUUAAAUCUGAAGAUGUCAAAAAUCUACCACAUAUCGAAGAGAUCCAUGGUCUUGAUAACCCGAUACAGGUAGUAGAGGUAAAUUCUCUUCGUAGAUUCAAUGAGAGUGCUAUUCCUUUUGAUAAACCUGCUAGCUUAUGCCUGGAUGAAUUUGAUAACUUUGUUGCCAACAACAAAGUUUCAAUGAUUAUGUCAGCAGACAAUUGGAACAGAAUGCUCGCAUGCUUAGUCAUUUAAGUGCUUGUGUGGACAGAAAUGUCAAUGAUCUUAAGCUCUUGAGUAAACAUGCCUCUAUGGUUACUACUCAGGUAGAACAAGUACUUAAGGCUCAGAAUGACUUGCUCAAUGAGUUGAAUGACAUUUCUGUCAGAGUCGUCACUAGAGGCGGUAGAAUGACCCAGGAACCUUUUUAUCCUGAGGGUCAUCCUAAGAGAAUUGAACAAGAUUAUCAAGGAGUUAGCAUUGAUGCACUUAGUCAUCCUAGGAAGAAGAAGAAAGACGAUAGGAACCUGCACGCUAGCAACCCUGUUGCUGUUACACCUGAGAGUCCAAACGAUGUCUCUAUUUCUAAUGCCGAAACACAAUCUUGUGAUGAACAUGAGCCUAAUGAUAAUAUCGAUAGUGGUGUUCAUGAUGAUGCUCAACCUAGCAAUGAUAAGGAUGUGGAGAUUGAACAUGUUGAUCUUGAUAACCCACAGCCUAAGAAUAAGAGAUACGAUAAGAACGACUUCGCUGCUAGGAAGCAUCGUAAAGAAAGGGAACCAUGGGUUCAGAAACCCAUGCCCUUUCCUCCCAAACCAUCCAAGAAAAAGGAUGAUGAGGUUUAUGAGCGAUUUGUUGAAAUGAUUAGACCUGUCUUUCUGCAAAUGCGUUUGACAGAUAUGCUCAAAAUGUCCCCGUAUGCCAAGUACAUGAAGGAUAUUGUGACUAAUAAGAGGAGGAUACCUGAGGUUGAGAUUUCCACCAUGCUCGCUAAUUAUACCUUCAAGGGUGGAACUCAUAAGAAACUAGGUGAUCCCGGAGUGCCCACUAUACCUUGCUCCAUUAAAGGAAACUACGUUAGAACUGCUUUAUGCGAUCUUGGAGCCGGUGUUAGUGUUAUGCCUCUCUCUCUCUCUUUAUCGUAGGCUUGAACUGGAUAAGUUGACACCCACUAAAAUCUCUAUGCAAAUGGCCGACAAAUCAACUGCUUUCCCUAUCGGCAUUUGCGAGGAUGUGCCUGUUGUGGUUGCUAACGUUACAAUCUUAACAGACUUUGUUAUUCUGGAUAUUCCCGAGGAUGAUGCCAUGGCGGUCAUCCUUGGAAGACCCUUUUUAAACACUGCAGGGGCUGUUAUUGAUUGCAACAAAGGCAAUGUCACUAUCCAUGUCAAUGGCAAUGAGCAUACGGUGCACUUUCUGAAGAAACAAUAUCGAGUACAUUGCAUCAAUGCUAUUGAAAAAACUUCAUCAAUUCUUAUUGGGAGCUUUGAAUGCCCUAUACCUACUAUUAAGAUGAAGUAUGAUUGGCUUGUUGGGGAUAUGCACAUCCCCAUUGAGGUAACCUAGUGACUAUUUGAAAAUUCUCCGUUCUUUUUUUCAUGCGAUUCGAAAAAGUUUGUCAAGGAGACUUGAUCAACCUCAUUGACGGAUUUAUUUCGAUGACCAUGGGAUGGAUGAAUCGAGGAGUCACAAACCUCUGUUCCAAGCUUUCACCUUCGGUUGCUUAGAAGAAAAAUGAUAGAUUUAGCUUUAGUUUUCCCUGCUUUCUGCUUUUAACAUCCCGUAGAAAAAUACCCCGAAAAUAAAAGUUCUCCGAAUGCCGUGAAAAUCAAGUAUGAUUUUUUAUGGAAUUUUUGAAAGAUUCUGAGACGGAGAGCUAGUCAGGGGGCUGCACCAGUGGGCCACAAGCCCUGGAGCCGCGGGCACCCCCUGGUCGCGCCUACCAGGCUUUUGGGUCCCACGUGUCCCCCCUCCACUUAUUCUAGCUCCCAUCUGCUUCUCCUACCUCCAGAAAAAAUCGUUUUGCAGCUCAAACCCGUGUUCUUGCUCUUCUUGCUGUGAUUUUCAAUCUCCUUGUGCAAAGCCGCAUUCACCAAACUGUUUUGGGGAAAUUUCUCCUUGGUAUGUGACUCCUCCAUUGGUCCAAUUAGUUUUUGCUCUAGUGCCUUAUACGUCGCGUAUUUUUGCUGCCUUGGUGACCCUAUUCUUGAGCUUUGCAUGCUAAUUUUAGCUGGUCCCAAGUAGUUUUGAUGCGUGAUAUGAUCUCUAGGCACUUGUCGGAGUAGUUGCUAUGAGUUUCGUUGAGCCUUGUUCACUUUUCCUUUGAGUCACUGAAAAUUUUAGAAAAGGAAGAUGUUCAGGAGAAACUAUCAUGGUGGUUCCUCAAGCAAGAGGGGUCCCCGUCUCGCGAUUCGGGAGCCCGAUCCUUACCAACAGAGGAACGCACAGGUACAACCAUGUGAAUGGCCUUGUGAUGAAUUCAUGAUUGAGGCAGGUUCCAAAGACGAGUUUGAUACACUUGUUCACAACGUCGGACUCGAAGAAUUCAUCUCCGAUAAAUGUGAACAGUAUGUUACUCUCACUACCUCUUUUGUUCGUAGAUUCAAAUUUUCAGUUGGCCGUGAUACAUAUGUAUUGUUUGAUCUCUAUGACAAAUCGUAUACCAUGGAUUUAGAGGAUUUCAAUAGAAUUUAAAAGAUACCUGUUUGGGGUAGUCUAAAUGAUCCUCCUAAAUCUUCGGUUAGAGAUUUUUUCUCUAGCAUAACUGUUGGANNNNNNNNNNNNNNNNNNNNNNNNNNNNNNNNNNNNNNNNNNNNNNNNNNNNNNNNNNNNNNNNNNNNNNNNNNNNNNNNNNNNNNNNNNNNNNNNNNNNGGGCGGAGGAUCCUUCCGCGACAACUUCUGGCUUCAGGUGAGGACCCCUCUCCACAUCCCCUCCCCGCCCCAACCCCCGACGACCCUAGCACAACCCCCUCGAUACCGAACGACUGUGGCAGGGUGAGCGGCGAUAAACAACGGCCGAGUACCGAGCGGGCUCUCCUCCCCCGACCCCCUCUCUCUUCUCUACACUCUCGUUGAUCUGCUCCUGGUCGCCCCAAAGCUCACCUUGAUCUGGUUUCUUCUCUCAGAUCAGCCACCGCGAUAAACAGCAAGUUCAGGUGCGGGGUAUUAUGAUCUACCGAGGGAGGGUUUGGUUGGUGCUAAUUGGGUUUCGUCAUUUUUGUGGGGGUAUUAUGAUCUGUCUUAUAGACAUUAAAAAUUGUCAUCCUUGCAGAAAUUAACCCCGAAACUCUUCUUCACUACGUUACUGUUUUCAAUCUCGGCCUAAAUUAUUAGUUGCUGGUGGCAAUAAAACCAAAAUAGUUCAUCUAGCAACAUACUACCAAAUGGUACGGCUAAGAAGUUGAUCCUCCAUUUUUUCUUUCUGGAGAUAGAGGCUUCAACACUAGGAGCCCCAGUGAUAAGAUAAGAACGGGAACAAACUAGGAGCAUACUACCUAAAGAUUGCCCGGAUUACCUAUAUCUUUUCAAAGAUUUAGUCAAUGACUUUGCAACAUAGUAUAUGAGUUCUCCAUUUGUCCCGAAAAUAUAUUCCAUCCCCGUAAUUCAGACAGAAGGGUCAAUCAAUCUGAAGAUGAGGCUGUGCAGAUAGAAAAACACAGAGAGACAUCAUCUUGUGUAGUGUUUGCUUAUGUCCCUAAUAAGAUUCUCUGAAUGAACAAGGAAAGUAAGAGACAAUGGGGGGGGGGGGGGGGGGGAAAAAUAAACUUUUCCUAUACAUAGUUAUUAAUCCUAGACAGGUCUGCCGCAACUGGAUGAUAAUGGCACUUCGCUGAAGGUUCAUCUUCUCUAUUUUUAAAUGGAAUUUUAGUGCCAAAUUUAUAGGAAAUGUAUUUAUGAGUUCAGAGUCAUUAUGAAAAAAAUAUACAUGUAAAGUCUACCAUGGGGCAAUGGAUGUCAAUGUAAUUUCAGUUUUCUUUUUUUACGAGAUGGAAUUUAGUGUUCUUGACCACUACAUGUUCAUUAUAAAUAGUAUUGUAGUUUGAUUAGUUGACUCCGUGUGAGGGCAUAUUUUAUGCCUAAGUAAUUUUGGUGAUUAAUGACAGUACCGCAAAGGACUAAUCGUGUGUGUUGAGAUUUUAGAGAACACAUGUCAACGUCACAAGACGACUCGCCCCUCCUUCCAUGGAACAGAAGCACGGUGUACACUACGAUUCUCUUUCUUUGAGUCAUAGGAACGCCGUACUAUUAAGAGGGGACCCGUAGUGGAAAGGUUUGGGUGGAAUCAAUUUUGCAUGCACACACUUUAUCUCCUUUUCCUUUCCCUGCAAAUUUGGAGUGGCUCCCGCCUAUGGUUUAUCUCCUCUAAGCAAAAAGGUCUCCCAGCGGUAGUGCCGCUGUCCCUAGCGGAAGUACCGCAGGAACUGGCAGAAGUACCGCUGGAACUGGCGGUAGUACCGCCCCUGGUCAGCGGUAGAACCGCUCCAGGAACUUAGUACCGCCAUCCUAGCGGUUGUACUUCGCCGGACUUUUUGCGAAUACUUUCUUGGCGGUGGUUGGCCUGGUAGUGCAUCUGCACUACGAGGGGCCCAGCGGUAGUACCGCUGCAGCCAGCGGUAGUACCGCCGGAGUCCCAGCGGUAGUACCGCUGCAGCCAGCGGUAGUACCACGGGAGCUCUAGCGGUAGUACCGCUGCAGCCAGCGGUAGUACCGCUAGGCUCGGGUUGUGAGUGGGAAAAUGGUUGGAUCUUUCCCCCCACUACAUAAGGGGUUCUUCUUGCUCUAGAACCCUACCUUUGACCCUCCCAAGCUCCAUUGUUUCUCCCUAAGCUCUAAAGUGCCCGAUCUCUCUCCCUAGCCAAUCAAACUUGUUGAUUCUUUAGGGAUUGGUUGAGAAGGCCUAGAUCUACACUUCCACCAAGAGAAAAGUUGAUUCCCCCACCAAUCCCUUGCGAAUCUUGUUACUCUUGGGUGUUUGAGCACCCUAGACGGUUGAAGUCACCUCAGAGCCACAUUCCAUUGUGGUGAAGCUUCGUGGUCUUGUUGGGNNNNNNNNNNNNNNNNNNNNNNNNNNNNNNNNNNNNNNNNNNNNNNNNNNNNNNNNNNNNNNNNNNNNNNNNNNNNNNNNNNNNNNNNNNNNNNNNNNNNGUAUUUGUUCCUAUGACCAUGAGAUCAUAUAACUCACUAACACCGGAGGAAUACUUUGUGUGUAUCAAACGUUGCAACGUAACUGGGUGACUAUAAAGAUGCUCUACAAGUAUCUCCGAAGGUGUUCGUUGAGUUAGUAUGGAUCAAGACUGGGAUUUGUCACUCCGUGUGACGGAGAGGUAUCUCGGGGCCCACUCGGUAAUACAACAUCACACACAAGCCUUGCAAGCAAUNGGCCCACUCGGUAAUACAACAUCACACACAAGCCUUGCAAGCAAUGUGACUUAGUGUAAGUUGCGGGAUCUUGUAUUACGGAACGAGUAAAGAGACUUGCCGGUAAACGAGAUUGAAAUAGGCAUGCGGAUACUGACGAUCGAAUCUCGGGCAAGUAACAUACCGAAGGACAAAGGGAAUGACAUACGGGAUUAUAUGAAUCCUUGGCACUAAGGUUCAAACGAUAAGAUCUUCGUAGAAUAUGUAGGAUCAAAUAUGGGCAUCCAGGUCCCGGUAUUGGAUAUUGACCGAGGAGUCUCUCGGGUCAUGUCUACAUAGUUCUCGAACCCGCAGGGUCUGCACACUUAAGGUUCAACGUUGUUUUAUGCGUAUUUGAGUUAUAUGGUUGGUAAUCGAAUGUUGUUCGGAGUCCCGGAUGAGAUCACGGACGUCACGAGGGUUUCCGGAAUGGUCCGGAAACGAAGAUUGAUAUAUAGUAUGACCUCAUUUGAUUACCGGAAGGUUUUCGGAGUUACCGAGAAUGUACCGGGAAUGACGAAUGGGUUCCGGGAGUUCACCGGGGGGGCAACCCACCCCGGGGGAAGCCCAUAGGCCUUGGGGGUGGCACACCAGCCCUUAGUGGGCUGUUGGGACAGCCCAAGAAGGCCCUAUGCGCCAUAGGAAGAAAAUCAAAGAGAAAAGAAAAAAAAGGAGGAGGUGGGAAAGGGAAGAAGGACUCCACCCACCAAACCAAGUUGGACUCGGUUUGGGGGGGGAGACCUUCCCCCCUUUGCUUGGCCGACCCCCUUGGGGCUCCUUGAGCCCCAAGGCAAGGCUCCCCCUCUUCCCCCUAUAUAUACGGAGGUUUUAGGGCUGAUUUGAGACGACUUUUCCUCGGCAGCCCGACCACAUACCUCCACGGUUUUUCCUAUAGAUCGCGUUUCUGCGGAGCUCGGGCGGAGCCCUGCUGAGACAAGAUCAUCACCAACCUCUGGAGCGUCGUCACGCUGCCGGAGAACUCUUCUACCUAUCCGUCUCUCUUGCUAGAUCAAGAAGGCCGAGAUCAUCGUCGAGCUGUACGUGUGCUGAACGCGGAGGUGCCGUCCGUUGGGCACUAGAUCGUGGGACUGAUCGCGGGACGGUUCGCGGGGCGGAUCGAGGGACAUGAGGACGUUCUACUACAUCAACCGUGUUCACUAACGCUUCUGCUGUAUGGUCUACAAGGGUACGUAGAUCACACAUCCCCUCUCGUAGAUGAACAUCACCAUGAUAGGUCUUCAUGCGUGUAGGAUUAUUUUUUCCCAUGUGACGUUCCCCAACAAUUAACAGGGACGGCAUAUACUGCAACGGCCUCGUUAAGUGUUAACGGCAGGCGUCUUCUCUUUGCCGUCUGUCGUCCCCCCCCCCUUUGCCAUGUGGGGGUAGACGGCAAAGAGGGGAGAGAGGGGGGCUGAUUCACCGCUUUGCCGUCUGUCCACCCCCCCCCCCCUUUGCCAUGUGGGGGCAGACGGCAAAGAGGGGAAACGGAGGGGGAAGAUUCCCCCCUUUGUCGUCUGCCCACCCCCCCUUUGACAUGUGGGGGCAGACGACAAAGAGGGGAGACAGAGGGGGCAGAUUCCCUCCUUUGCCCUUUGCCGUCUGCCCACCCCCCUUUGCCAUGUGGGGGCAGACGGCAAAGAGGGGAACCUGCCCCAUUUUAAUUUAUUUUUUAUUAUAUCNNNNNNNNNNNNNNNNNNNNNNNNNNNNNNNNNNNNNNNNNNNNNNNNNNNNNNNNNNNNNNNNNNNNNNNNNNNNNNNNNNNNNNNNNNNNNNNNNNNNAAGUUAUCAAAUUCAUCCAGGCAUAAGCUAGCAGGUUUAUCAAAAGGAAUAUCACUCUCAUUGAGUCUACAAAGAGAAUUUACCUCUACUACCUGUGUCGGGUUAUCAAGACCACAGGUCUCUUCGAUAGGUGGUAGAUUUUUGACAUCUUCAAAUUUAAUGCCUUUCUCUUUCAUAGAUUUCUUAGCUUCUUGCAUAUCUUCAGGACUGAGGAAUAGGAUACCUCUUUUCUUAGGAGUUGGCUUCGGAGGUGGUCCGGGAAUAGUCCAAGCAUUCUCAUUGCACAAGAUAUUAUUCAAUAGGNGCAUUCUCAUUGCACAAGAUAUUAUUCAAUAGGAUCUCAGCUUGUUCUACAGUUUGUUCCCUGAAAACACAACUGGCACAACUAUCUAGGUGGUCUCUAGAAGCAUCAGUUAGUCCAUUAUAGAAGAUAUCCAGUAUUUCAUUGUUUUCAAGAGGGUGAUCAGGCAAAGCAUUCAACAGCUGGACAAGCCUCCCCCAAGCUUGUGGGAGACUCUCUUCUUCAACUUGCGCAAAGUUAUGUAUUUCCUACAAGGCAGCUUUUGCUUCUUAUGGGCAGGAAAAUAUUUCUCCCAGAAGUAGUAGAUCGUAUCCUGGGGACUACGCACACAACCAGGAGCAAGAGAAGUGGACCAAGUCUUAGCAUCAUCCUUUAGUGAGAAAGGAAACAACUUAAGGAUAUAGUAGUGAAAUAUCUUUUCCUCACUCGUGAAUAGGGUGGCUAUAUCGUGUAGCUUAGUAAGAUGUGCUACAACCAUUUCGGACUCAUAACCAUGAAAAGGAUCAGAUUCGACCAAAGUGAUUAACUCAGGGUCGAUAGAGAAUUCGUAAUCCUUAUCGGUCACAAAGAUAGGCGAAGUAGCAAACUUCGGGUCGUAUUUCAUCCUAGCGUUCAAAGAUUUUUCUUUCCACUUGCGCAGUAAAUUCUCAACAUCAUAGCUAUCCUUACACGCAAGAAAGUCCGCAACUAUCUCUCCCUCAAUAUCAUAACCCUCAGGCAUAUCAGGCAAUUCAUAUCUAGCAGAGCUAGUUCUAACAGGCGAAAUAGCAGGUUCUACUUCAAUAAUCUCAGCAGUUUCAGAAGUAUCAUCACAUCUAGCAGCAACUCUAGCAAUUUGUGCAUCAAGGAAUGCACCUAGUGGCAAAGCAGUAUCAAGCAAAGAAUCAUCACAAGCAUCAUGGACAUCAGAAGUAGCAUCAUCAAGCACAGGCGACACAUCAAAAUUUCUAGCAGGACGUGGUGUCGCAAACUUACUCAUAACUGAAGGUGGAUCAAGUGCACAACUAGAUGGUAGUUCCUUACAUGUCCUCGUAGUUGAGGGCAAGACUUUAGUUUUUGGAUCUCUCGGAUUCCUCAUAGUGAUCAGCAGACGUAAAUCCCAAGUGACUCAGAGAAUAGAGCUAUGCUUCCCCGGCAACAGCGCCAGAAAAUAGUCUUGAUAACCCACAAGUAUAGGGGAUCGCAACAGUUUUCGAGGGUAGAGUAUUCAACCCAAAUUUGUUGAUUCGACACAAGGGGGAGCCAAAGAAUAUUCUCAAGUAUUAGCAGUUGAGUUGUCAAUUCAACCACACCUGAAAGACUUAGUAUCUGCAGCAAAGUAUCAGUAGAAAAGUAGUGUGAUAGCAACAGUAGCAACGGGAAUAGUAGCAGCAGUGACAGCAGUAGCGAUAGAGUAAUAAUAGCAGCAGUGACAACAGUAGUGACAGAGAAACAGUAGCAGCAGUGACAACAGUAGCGACAGAGUAACAGUAGCAGCAGCGACAACAAUAGCGGCAAAGUGACGUAGCAAGGACCAGUAGAAAAAACUCAUAGGCAUUGGAUCGGUGAUGGAUAAUUAUGCCGGAUGAUAUUCAUCAUGCAACAGUUAUAACACGGAGAGAUAAGUAACUAGCUCUAGUUCAUCAAUGUAAUGUAGGCAUGUAUUCUGUAUAUAGUCAUACGUGCUUAUGAAAAGAACUUGCAUGACAUCUAUUGUCCAUCCCUCCCGUGGCAGCGGGGUCCUAAUGGAAACUACGUGAUAUUAAGGUUCUCCUUUUAAUAGAGAACCGAAACAACGCAUUAACACUUGGUGAAUACAUGAACUCCUCAUACUAUGGCCAUCUCCGGGAGUGGUUCCGGCUAUUGUCACUCCGGGGUUGCCGGGUCAUAACACAUAGCAGGUGACUACAACUUUCAAGAUAGGAUCUAGAACACACAUAUAUUGACGAGAACAUAAUAGGUUCAGAUCUGAAAUCAUGGCACUAGGGCCCUACUGACAAGCAUUAAGCAUGGCAAAGUAGUAUCAACAUCAAUCUCAGAACAUAGUGGAUACUAGGGAUCAAUCCCCAUCAAAACUAACUCGAUUACAAGAUAGAUCUCAUCCAACCCAUCACCGUCCAGCAAGCCUACGAUUAUAUUNNNNNNNNNNNNNNNNNNNNNNNNNNNNNNNNNNNNNNNNNNNNNNNNNNNNNNNNNNNNNNNNNNNNNNNNNNNNNNNNNNNNNNNNNNNNNNNNNNNNAGUCACAACCCUCUGUUCCAAACCUUUACCUUCCGUUGCUUAGAAGAAAAAUGAUAUAUUUAGCUUAAGUUUUCCCUGUUUUGUUCUUCUUGCGUCCCGUAGAAAAGUGUCCCAAAAAUAAAAGUUCUCCGAAUGUCCUGAAAAUCAAGUAUGAUUUUUCUGGAAUUUUUGAAAAAUUCUGAGACAGAGAGCUAGUCAGGGGGAUACACUAGUGGGCCACAAGCCCUGCAGGCGCGGGCACCCCCUGGUCGCGCCUACCACGCUUGUCGGGCCCACGUGUCACCCCUCCACUUAUUCCAGCUCCCAUCUCCUUCUCCUACCUCCAGAAAAAUUCAUUCUACAACUCAAACCCGUGUUCUUGCUCUNUGUCGGGCCCACGUGUCACCCCUCCACUUAUUCCAGCUCCCAUCUCCUUCUCCUACCUCCAGAAAAAUUCAUUCUACAACUCAAACCCGUGUUCUUGCUCUUCUUGCUGCGAUUUUCGAUCUCCUUGUGCAAAGCCCCAUUCAGCAAAAUGUUAUGGGGAAAUUGCUCCUUGGUAUGUGACUCCUCCAUUGGUCCAAUUAGUUUUUACUCUAGUGCCUUAUUCGUUGCGUAUUUUUGCUUCCUUGGUGACCCUUUUCUUGAGCUUUGCAUGCUAAUUUUAGCUGGUCCCAAGUAGUAUUGAUGCGUGAUAUGGCCUCUUGGCACUUGUCGGGGUAGUUUCUACGAGUUUCGUUGAGCCUUGUUCACUCCUUUGAGUUACUGAAUUUUUUUAGAAAAGGAAGAUGUUCAGGAGAAACUAUCAUGGUGGUUCCUCAAGCAAGAGGGGUCCCCGUCUCGCGAUACGGGAACCCGAUCCUUACCAACCGAGGAAUGCACAGGUACAACCAUGUUAAUGGCCUUCUGAUGAAUUCAUGAUUGAUGCAGGUUUUAAAGACGAGUUUGAUACACUUGUUCACAAUGUUGGACUUGAGAGNNNNNNNNNNNNNNNNNNNNNNNNNNNNNNNNNNNNNNNNNNNNNNNNNNNNNNNNNNNNNNNNNNNNNNNNNNNNNNNNNNNNNNNNNNNNNNNNNNNNAACCACUCUAAUCAGCUAAUGACGAGUUUCGUACGAAGGGAGUUUUCAAGUAUGCGAUGGAAGAUGAUGAAAGAAGAUCCAGUAGUGUCAAGCGCUCAAGCUUGGGGAUGCCCCCAUGCACCCCAAGAAAUAUUCAAGGAGACUCAAGUGUCUAAGCUUGGGUAUGCCCCCGUGCAUCCCCUUCUCCAUCAACAAUCAUCAGUUCGUCCUUCUUCAUGCUAUAUUUUUAUCACUUCAUUUGUUAUGUGCUAUGCUUGGAGCGNAGCAUCUAAGCUUGGGGAUGCCCCCGUGCAUCCCUUUCUCUAUCAACAAUCAUCAGUUCGUCCAUCUCCAUGCUAUAUUUUUAUCACUUCAUAUGUUAUGUGCUAUACUUGGAGCGUCCCGCUCUUUACUUUUUACUUUGUUUUAGUUUUUCUUGCUGGUCAUAACAAGUACGAACCUAGCCUACUGCUACUGCAACAAAAGAACUUCCAACGGCGCCAGAAACACGUGUUGACGGGAGACUAUUCUUGUCUUGAUACUCCUCAGCAACGGCACCAGGAAUCCUUCUGCUAUGGCUAUGCCUUUAGGGACUUCCUAGGCAAAUAUGCAAAGGAUUCCCCCGUGGCCUUGGAGCCUUGCGUUGGUGUUCCCUCGAAGCGGAAAGGGUGAUGUAGCACAGCGGUGGUAAGUAUUUACCUCGGUUUUGAGAACCAAGGUAUCGAUCCAGUGAAGGAGUAUCACAAGUACCUGCACAAACACAAAAAGCUUGCUCCCAACGCUAUGAAGGGGUUGUCAAUCCCUUAUAGAUUGUUUAGCAAGUGAGAACCGAAAGGAACAAAGUAAUGAAGCAAAGUGAAAGCGAAACUGGAAACGAUAGGUGUGAAUAGACCCGGGGGCCAUAGUGUUUACUAGUGGCUUCUCUCAUGAAAGCAAGUAGACGGUGGGUGAACAAAUUACUGUCGAGCAAUUGAUAGAACCGUGCAAAGUCGUGAUGUCAUCUAUGGCAAUUAUUAUAUCUAUAAGCAUCACGUCCAAAACAAGUAGANNNNNNNNNNNNNNNNNNNNNNNNNNNNNNNNNNNNNNNNNNNNNNNNNNNNNNNNNNNNNNNNNNNNNNNNNNNNNNNNNNNNNNNNNNNNNNNNNNNNAUUAUAUAUAGGGUAAUUUAGUUUGUUUAUUUGGUUAUAUUAUUAGGCUAAUUAGGUUAGUUAGUUAGGUUAGUGCGUUGGACGAGCUCCGCCCUUGCGUUUGUUGGUGGGAUUAGGACCUACCUUUACCUAUUAGCGUGUAGGUUGCAUGGACGUAAUAAAACUGACAAACUUGAUUAGCGUAUGAAUAUAGAUGAUGAAUUAUAUAUUUAUUUCUUGUGCCCCCAUAGGUAGCUAGGCAACAUGAGUGAUCGUGCUUGGAUGUACACUAGUCACCCGAGUUGAGACAAGUCGCUAAUGGUUUUGACUAUAAGGUCCGUUCAUUUGACAAAUACAACAUCAACGNCAACGGGUAUCACUUUCGUACCUUUGGCAAAGAGCUAUCUAUGCCCGACCUAAAGUCUGCAAAUUGUUCUGUCUCUGCUAUCGGCGAAGGAGACACCGAGUAUUAUGGAAGAGUUGAAGCAAUUUAUGAACUUCUAUUCUAUGGUGAAAACCCACCGACCGUCGUAGUCUUCAAAUGUUAUUGGUUUGAGCCGAGGGAGACUAGAAGGACUCAUGAACAUAUAGGACUAGUCGAAAUCAACCAAAACACCCACUUAGAUGUUCCCGAUAUCUAUAUUACGGCUCAACAGGCGACACAAGUUUUCUAUCUACCGUGGGCCUGCCAAACUGAUCCAAAUCUCAAAGGUUGGGAUGUCGUUUAUGAAGUGCCACCACAUUUUAGACCACCUACCCUCAAUGAAGAGGAUUACGAACCUCACAUUAACCCAGACACAUAUGAAGGAGAAUUCUUCCAAGAAACAUGUAUGUCCAAGAAACGUUUCAAGAACCGCUCUACUUCACCCCAAAACAUUGAAGUAGACAGCGACAGUGAAUCCGUCUUAACCCCUGAGCCCGAACAGGAAGAGCUGGAAGAAGAAGAGGUUACUGCUGCGGAUGACCUGUCACUUCUUGACCGAUUACAUAAUGGUGGCCUUCCACAUGUUCUUCGUGAUAGUGAUGAUGAUGAUGCAUAUAUUGAUGAUAGUGAUGAUCAUGAUGCAUUUAUUGACCCCGAAGCAUAUAUAGACGAGCAUGAUUGUUAUUAGUUCAUGUCAGGUAUUCAACUAUUAUACUAUAUAUAAAUUUUGAGUUCAUGUUAGGUAUUCAAUUUUUAUUAGUCAUGUUGGUAUUUAUGACGAUGAUACACUUAAAUUAUAUACAUUUCAUUAGUCCUGUUGGUAUUUAUGUUGUACUAAUUUCAUUUACUCUUUGUCAUGACAGGUGUUGAAAGAUGGUGGGAAAGGGUCGAAAGCACUCCGCGGCUCCUUCUUCGUCGGCGGGUGAUGGGAUGGGUACUUCCAUUCCUGCCUCGCCUCUUCGGAGGGUGUUGCUCUCUACUAUGCAAGGAGCGCCCCCCGUGAGAGGAGGUCGACCCCCCGCGAAGCCGAGAGGCACUAAAGGUACACGUUGUAUUCAUGUUGGUAUUUAUGUUGUACUCAUGUUGUAUGCAUAUUGAUAUUUAUAUACAUUUUAUUACUCACGUUGGUAUUUAUGUUGUACUAAAGGUACACGUGGCCGCGGGAGAGGUAGGGCGGUGGCUGCCACGCCUUCUGAGGUGGCGGCUACACGGUCUCCGCCACCACCCCAAGCUGAUUCACCUGAGCACAGGACUUCUAGGGUGGAUUUGUCUGAGGUGGAGGCUACACGGUCUCUGGUUCACGAGCCUCAGGUCGAUGAGCCUUCGACCCACGAGACUCGUGUCCCAUGGGCUUCAUUCCAGGCGACUCCGGAGCAAAGCAGGGAUGAGGGUACGUCCCAAGAGACCCAGUGGGAUACCUGGGCUGAGCCAAGUGGCCAUGAUGGUAGCGACGAGGAGCUGGGUGAGGGGGCUACCGUCUACCAGCAUGGUAGUUCGGGGCUCACGCUCGUGCCAGCGACCCCUGAGAAGAGGUGGUCGAUUAGGCCAAAUGGGGACAACUAAGUUAAUUUACUCUUAUUUAACCUUUUGCCUUCGCGUUUUCUCAAAUAUCUAAUGUUUUGGCUUUAAUUUGUCAUACUGUAGGGGGUGGAUUGUUGCCAAGGGUGUCCGCAAGCCCAACAACGUCCUUGGUGUUCUUUGCCGUAAAAACUUCCCAGGGUUUGUUACGUUGCUCGGUCGGGAGUGAGAGGUAGGAAUGACCUGGGAGCACUACUUGGGUGCCCCGGCCCCGCCGGAGGUGGAGAUCGACGGUGUUUUGUGCGACACGAGGGCGGACAUGGUGAUCCGAAAGUUCUGGGUAAUUUCUCCUUCACAAAAUUAUAAAUCAACCAUAGCUAUUUAUUGUACUAAUCAGUGUUGUCUCGUUUGCAGACCUACUAUAGGUGUGAGGAGGGAUACAAGGAGGACGCGACAAAGUUUAUCGAAACCGAAUGUCGCCCCUACUUCAAAACUUUCGGCACGAGGCUCGGGUGCAUGCUGUUCGAGACUACUAUGCCACGCGGCGUAUUAGGCUUGACAAGGCGAAGUGCCGUGAUGCUAAGAUGGAGAAGGAGCAUUACAUGAAGGUAAUUACAUAUUAUUAAGGCUUUGUAGUUAGUUUCCUUGAUUUGGUUCUUACGCGCUCAAAUUUCUCUUUAUUAACUUAGGUGCCCCCGAGAUGGUGUGUGGAUAAGAUGGAUUGUUGGGAGGCCUUGGUGGAUCAGUGGUGCUCCGAAACGUGGGAGGCCAGCCACAACAACGCCAAGGAGAGGCGUGGCAAAAUGGUUGGCGUGCCACACCAUCAAGGGGGCGUCAACUUAAUCCAAUUUGGCGAGAACUGGGUAUGUGGUUUGCUUCAUGCCUCAUGCAAUUCAUUCUUAAUGCUAUCUUGAGCCUUUACUAAUACAAUUUUCCUCUCUCUCUCUUUUAGGCGCGUCACAAUAAGACGGAGGCGCCACAGAUGUACGACCUGUAUGCGAUGGCCCAUACUGCCUCGUACAAGAAGGUCAAGGCAUUCUCUGAUCUAACCUCGAGCAUCCAGAAAACUUCACCAAAAUCUCCUCCCACCACAAGCUCGUGAAGUACAGAGAUCACGGGAAAGCGAGGAAGGGGAGGACUUUAACCCGAGCGAGGGGCCUAUUGAUCCAGAGCUGGUGAUGAUAGCUGGCAACGGGAGGCCCCAUGGCUCGAUCGCCAUUGGAGACGGCCUUAUACGUUGUCCUAGCACUCUUCGGCAGAUAAAGGCACGCCAAACGAGCUCUUGUCCGGAGAUAACACGUCGUCCACGGCCAGUCGAGCUCGCCAUCGAGGUUAGUUUAAUGGACUCAACCAUCUUUCCGCAUUAUGUUGUGCGUUGGAACCAAUAUGAUUACAUUGCUAACAAAGAGUUGUGUUGCAGGCUGCUAUUCAGAAAGAGAGAGAGGCAAUGCAGGCGGCUAUGGCGGAGAACGAUAAGGAAAUUAGGGAGCUGGAGGAGAGGACGACUGCAUUGGUGGAGGCGGAGAGGGCACGGAAUGAUGCGUCUAACAGAGCCAUAUACGAUCUCUUCGUGGUAAGUUUCUUCUUCAUGUUAUUUCAAAUCUUGCAUUUGAAUGUCCGUUUCAUUAAUAAAUAAAAAGUUUGACUUGUCGAAACCAAAUGUACAGUCUAUGUGCGAGAAGAACGGCCAAGUCCCUCCGCCGAUGCCAGUCAUUAACGUGGCGGGGACGGUGAGUUUCAUUUGAGUGUAGUGAUCUUAAGAGUGUCCUGAUGCUAACUACACAUUGAAAUGUUGUUUGGUGCAGAAUAUCUCCCGAUACGCAUUGCACGACCCUUCUACAGUCGAGCCUUCUCCAGGGCAGCCUUCUCCAGGUGAAACAAGCCAGAGCCACCGUGCUUCACCGCUGUGAUGACGAUAAUGGUAUGUUAUUUCUAGUGUUUUAAUAAAAAAUAGCUAGACUUUCAUCUAAAUGACAUAAUUAGCUUAGUUAGCUCCAAGAAAGGCUAAAUUGGCUAAUUAUCCUACGAAAUGACAUAAUUAGCUUAGUUAGCUCCAAAAUGACCUAUUUAAUAAAAANNNNNNNNNNNNNNNNNNNNNNNNNNNNNNNNNNNNNNNNNNNNNNNNNNNNNNNNNNNNNNNNNNNNNNNNNNNNNNNNNNNNNNNNNNNNNNNNNNNNUACAAUAUUAGAAACGCCACAGAGCUCCCACUCACUUUCUUGUAAAUACAAGAUUCUCCAACCACUUGUAUAAACCCAAAUGCUUUGAUCACGUCAUCAAAGCGUUUGUUCCAACUCCAAGAUGCUUGCACCAGUCCAUAAAUGGAUCGCUGGAGCUUGCACACCUUGUUAGCAUUCUUAGGAUCGACAAAACCUUCGGGUUGCAUCAUAUACAAUUCUUCCUUAAGGAAACCGUUAAGGAACGCCGUUUUGACAUCCAUCUGCCAGAUUUCAUAAUCGAAAAAUGCAGCUAUUGCUAACAUGAUUCUGACGGACUUAAGCAUCGCUACGGGUGAGAAUGUCUCAUCGUAGUCAACUCCUUGAACUUGUGAAAAACCCUUUGCCACAAGUCGAGCUUUAUAAACGGUCACAUUGCCGUCAGCGUCCGUCUUCCUCUUAAAGAUCCAUUUGUUCUGAAUAGCCUUGCGGCCCUCAGGCAGUACUUCCAAAGUCCACACUUUGUUCUCAUACAUGGAUCCUAUCUCGGAUUUCAUGGCUUCUAGCCAUUUGUUGGAAUCUGGGCCCACCAUUGCUUCUUCAUAAUUUGCAGGUUCAUUGUUGUCCAACAACAUGAUUGAUAAGACGGGAUUACCGUACCACUCCGGAGCAGCACGUGGUCUCGUCGACCUGCGUGGUUCGACAGAAACUUGAACCGGAGUUUCAUGAUCUUUAUCAUUAACUUCCUCCUCAACCGGCGUCGCAACGACAGCGGUUUCCCCUUGCGCUGCGCCACCAUCCAGAGGGAUGAGAGGUUCGAAAACCUCGUCAAGUUCUAUCUUCCUCCCACUCAAUUCUCUCGAGAGAAACUCCUUCUCGAGAAAAGCUCCGUUUUUAGCAACAAACACUUUGCCCUCGGAUUUGAGAUAGAAGGUGUACCCAACUGUCUCUUUUGGGUAACCUAUGAAGACGCACCUUUCCACUUUGGGUUCCAGCUUUUUAUGCUGAAGCUUUUUGACAUAAGCAUCACAUCCCCAAACUUUAAGUAACGACAACUUUAGCCUUUUGCCAUACCACAGUUCGUAUGGUGUCGUCUCAACGGAUUUUGAUGGUGCCCUAUUUAAAGUGAAUGCAGCUGUUUCUAAUGCAUAACCCCAAAACGAUAACGGCAAAUCGGUAAGAGACAUCAUAGAUCGCACCAUCUCUAAUAAAGUACGAUUACAACGUUCGGACACACCAUUACGCUGUGGUGUUCCAGGCGGUGUCAACUGUGAAACAAUUCCACAUUGUCUUAAGUGAGCACCAAACUCAAAACUCAGAUAUUCACCCCCACGAUCAGACCGUAGGAACUUGAUCUUCUUGUUACGAUGAUUUUCAACUUCACUCUGAAAUUGCUUGAACUUUUCAAAUGUUUCAGACUUGUGCUUCAUUAAGUAGACAUAACCAUAUCUACUCAAAUCGUCAGUGAAGGUGAGAAAAUAACGAUGUCCGCCGCGUGCCUCUACGCUCAUCGGACCACACACAUCGGUAUGUAUGAUUUCCAACAAGUCACUUGCACGCUCCAUUGUUCCGAAGAACGGAGUUUUAGUCAUCUUGCCCAUGAGGCAUGGUUCGCACGUGUCAAGUGAAUCAAAGUCAAGUGACUCCAAAAGUCCAUCGGCAUGGAGUUUCUUCAUGCGCUUUACACCAAUAUGACCUAAGCGGCAGUGCCACAAAAAUAUGGCGCUAUCAUUGUUAACUCUAACUCUUUUGGUCUCAAUGUUAUGUAUGUGUGUAUCGCUAUCAAGAUUCAAUAUGAACAAUCCUCUCACAUUGGGUGCAUGACCAUAAAAGAUGUUACUCAUAGAAAUAGAACAACCAUUAUUCUUUGACUUAAAAGAGUAACCGUCUCGCAAUAAACAAGAUCCAGAUAUAAUGUUCAUGCUCAACGCAGGCACUAAAUAACAAUGAUUCAAGUUCAUAACUAAUCCUGAUGGUAACUGAAGUGAAACUGUGCCGACGGCGAUUGCAUCAACCUUGGAACCAUUUCCUACACGCAUCGUCACUUCAUCUUUCGCCAGCCUUCGUCUAUUCCGCAGUUCCUGUUUCGAGUUGCAAAUAUGAGCAACAGAACCGGUAUCGAAUACCCAGGCACUACUACGAGAGCCGGUUAUGUACACAUCAAUAACAUGUAUAUCAAAUAUACCUGAUUUUUCUUUGGCCGCCUUCUUAUCUGCCAGAUACUUGGGGUAAUUGCGCUUCCAGUGACCCAUACCCUUGCAAUAGUAACACUCUGUUUCAGGCUUAGGUCCAGCUUUGAGUUUCUUCGUCGGAUUGGCAACAGGCUUGCCGCUCUUCUUUGAAUUACCCUUCUUGCCUUUGCCGUUUCUCUUGAAACUAGUGGUCUUAUUCACCAUCAACACUUGAUGCUCUUUACGGAGUUCAGACUCUGCGACUUUCAGCAUCGCAAACAACUCGCCGGGAGACUUGUUCAUCCCUUGCAUGUUGUAGUUCAACACAAAGCCUUUAUAGCUUGGCGGCAGUGAUUGAAGGAUUCUGUCAGUGAUAGCCUCUUGCGGGAGUUCAAUCCCCAGCUCAGCUAGACGGUUUGAGUACCCAGACAUUUUGAGCACAUGUUCACUGACAGACGAGUUCUCCUCCAUCUUGCAAGCAUAGAAUUUAUCGGAGGUCUCAUACCUCUCGAUCCGGGCGUUCUUCUGAAAGAUAAACUUCAACUCCUGGAACAUCUCAAAUGCUCCAUGACGCUAAAAGCGACGUUGAAGUCCCGGUUCUAAGCCAUACAAGACUGCACAUUGAACUACUGAGUAGUCCUCCUUACGUGCUAACCAAGCGUUCUUAACAUCCUGAUCAGCCGUAGCGGGUGGUUCAUCUCCUAGCGCAGCAUUAAGGACAUAAUCCUUCUUCCCAGCUUGUAAGAUUAGCUUAAGAUUACGAGCCCAGUCUACAAAGUUGCUUCCAUCAUCUUUCAACUUAGCUUUCUCUAGGAACGUAUUAAAAUUCAGGGUGACUGUCGUGUGAGCCAUGAUCUACAACACAAAUAUAUUCAAAGUGGACUUAGACUAUGUUCAAGAUAAUUAGAGUUUAACUUAAUCAAAUGAUUCGCUAAACUCCCACUCAAAAAAGUACAUCUCUCUAGUCAUUUGAGUGGUUCAUGAUCCACUUACACUAGCUCAAGUCCGAUCAUCACGUGAGUUGAGCAUAGUUUCAGUGGUAAGCAUCCCUAUGCUAAUCAUAUCAUAUAUAUGAUUCAUGAUCGACCUUUCGGUCUCAUGUGUUCCAAGGCCAUGUCUGCACAUGCUAGGCUCGUCAAGCUUAACCCGAGUGUUCCGCGUGCGCAACUAUUUUGCACCCGUUGUAUGUGAACGUUGAGUCUAUCACACCCGAUCAUCACGUGGUGUCUCGAAACGACGAACUGUAGCAAGGUGCACAGUCGGGGAGAACACAAUUUCGUCUUGAAAUUUUAGUGAGAGAUCACCUCAUAAUGCUACCGUCGUUCUAAGCAAAAUAAGGUGCAUAAAAGGAUUAACAUCACAUGCAAUUCAUAAGUGACAUGAUAUGGCCAUCAUCACGUGCUCCUUGAUCUCCAUCACCAAAGCACCGGCACGAUCUUCUUGUCACCGGCGCCGCACCAUGAUCUCCAUCAACGUGUCGCCAUCGGGGUUGUCGUGCUACUCAUGCUAUUACUACUAAAGCUACAUCCUAGCAAAAUAGUAAACGCAUCUGCAAGCACAAACGUUAGUAUAAAGACAACCCUAUGGCUCCUGCCGGUUGCCGUACCAUCGACGUGCAAGUCGAUAUUAUCUAUUACAACAUGAUCAUCUCAUACAUCCAAUAUAUCACAUCACAUCGUUGGCCAUAUCACAUCACAAGCAUACCCUGCAAAAACAAGUUAGACGUCCUCUAAUUUUGUUGUUGCAUGUUUUACGUGGUGACCAUGGGUAUCUAGUAGGAUCGCAUCUUACUUACGCAAACACCACAACGGAGAUAUAUGAGUUGUUAUUUAACCUCAUCCAAGGACCUCCUCGGUCAAAUCCGAUUCAACUAAAGUUGGAGAAACUGAUACUUGCCAGUCAUCUUUGAGCAACGGGGUUACUCGUAGCGAUGAAACCAGUCUCUUGUAAGCGUACGAGUAAUGUCGGUCCAAGCCGCUUCAAUCCAACAAUGCCGCGGAAUCAAGAAAAGACUAAGGAGGGCAGCAAAACGCACAUCACUGCCCACAAAAACUUUUGUGUUCUACUCGAGAAGACAUCUACGCAUGAACCUAGCUCAUGAUGCCACUGUUGGGGAACGUCGCAUGGGAAAAAAAAAUUCCUACGCGCACGAAGACCUAUCAUGGUGAUGUCCAUCUACGAGAGGGGAUGUGUGAUCUACGUACCCUUGUAGACCGUACAACAGAAGCGUUAGUGAACGCGGUUGAUGUAGUGGAACGUCCUCACGUCCCUAGAUCCUCCCCGCGAACCGUCCCGCGAUCAGUCCCACGAUCUAGUGCCGAACGGACGGCACCUCCGCGUUCAGCACACGUACAGCUCGACGAUGAUCUCGGCCUUCUUGAUCCAGCAAGAGAGACAGAGAGGUAGAAGAGUUCUCCAGCAGCGUGACGGCGCUCCAGAGGUUGGUGAUGAUCUUGUAUCAGCAGGGCUCCGCCCGAGCUCCGCAGAAACGCGAUCUAGAGGAAAAACCGUGGAGGUAUGUGGUCGGGCUGCCGUGGAAAAGUCAUCUCAAAUCAGCCCUAAAACCUCCGUAUAUAUAGGGGGAAGAGGGGGAGCCUUGCCUUGGGUCUCAAGGAGCCCCAAGGGGGUCGGCCGAGCCAAGGGGGCAAGGUCUCCCCCCCAAACCGAGUCCAACUUGGUUUGGUGGGUGGAGUCCUUCUUCCCUUUCCCACCUCCUCCUUUUUUUUUUCUUUUCUCUUUGAUUUUCUUCCUAUGGCGUAUAGGGCCUUCUUGGGCUGUCCCACCAGCCCACUAAGGGCUGGUGUGCCACCCCCAAGGCCUAUGGGCUUCCCCGGGGUGGGUUGCCCCCCCGGUGAACUCCCGGAACCCAUUCGUCAUUCCCGGUACAUUCCCGGUAACUCCGAAAACCUUCCGGUAAUCAAAUGAGGUCAUCCUAUAUAUCAAUCUUCGUUUCCGGACCAUUCCGGAAACCCUCGUGACGUCCGUGAUCUCAUCCGGGACUCCGAACAACAUUCGGUAACCAACCAUAUAACUCAAAUACGCAUAAAACAACGUCGAACCUUAAGUGUGCAGACCCUGCGGGUUCGAGAACUAUGUAGACAUGACCCGAGAGACUCCUCGGUCAAUAUCCAAUAGCGGGACCUGGAUGCCCAUAUUGGAUCCUACAUAUUCUACGAAGAUCUUAUCGUUUGAACCUCAGUGCCAAGGAUUCAUAUAAUCCCGUAUGUCAUUCCCUUUGUCCUUCGGUAUGUUACUUGCCCGAGAUUCGAUCGUCAGUAUCCGCAUACCUAUUUCAAUCUCGUUUACCGGCAAGUCUCUUUACUCGUUCCGUAAUACAAGAUCCCGCAACUUACACUAAGUCACAUUGCUUGCAAGGCUUGUGUGUGAUGUUGUAUUACCGAGUGGGCCCCGAGAUACCUCUCCGUCACACGGAGUGACAAAUCCCAGUCUUGAUCCAUACUAACUCAACGAACACCUUCGAAGAUACCUGUAGAGCAUCUUUAUAGUCACCCAGUUACGUUGCAAUGUUUGAUACACACAAAGUAUUCCUCCGGUGUUAGUGAGUUAUAUGAUCUCAUGGUCAUAGGAACAAAUACUUGACACGCAGAAAAACAGUAGCAACAAAAUGACACGAUCAACAUGCUACGUCUAUUAGUUUGGGUCUAGUCCAUCACGUGAUUCUCCUAAUGACGUGAUCCAGUUAUCAAGCAACGACACCUUGUUCAUAAUCAGAAGACACUGACUAUCUUUGAUCAACUGGCUAGCCAACUAGAGGCUUGCUAGGGACAGUGUUUUGUCUAUGUAUCCACACAUGUAAAUGAGUCUUCAUUCAAUACAAUUAUAGCAUGGAUAAUAAACAAUUAUUUUGAUACAGGAAUUAUAAUAAUAACUAUAUUUAUUAUUGCCUCUAGGGCAUAAUUCCAACAUUAAUUUGCCGUCUGCCCCCUCAUGGCAAAGAUUCUUUGCUGUCCGCUUUACAAAAGCAGACGGCAAAGAACCUCUUCACCGGAUUUUUUUUACCGUCUAGUUUGCCGUCUGCUCACCGAUGACAAAGCCUUUGCCGUCCGUGGAUCCCCCCUUUGCCGUCUGCCAUGGCAGACGGCAAAUUUCUGAAUUUCAGUAGUGUACCCCCUCUGCAUCUCAUGUGAUUUACGCAGGAGCGAGCCUUUUGACCCCGAGCCGAACCACCGCCAUGUGGGUUCUCCUCGUCAAUGAUUCCCUCGAUGCCAGCGAUUGCCUCUACCACCCACCGAAGCGCGGGAUGACGUCGAACACGUAGUUGACCUUCGGUUGUGUCGCUGUGGCUGGAAACGCCGCUGGUGAGCUCCCCCUCGCCCCUGUCAAGAGGUAGAUGACGACUGCAGGGUGGGACCCGUGCGUUAGUCUCUCCCUGCCUCUCUCUCUCGCUGAGAGAAGGGGCCCACGUGCAUGUUUAAAUUGAAACCUGUUGCGCGCACCCCUUCGCCCUCGGCACAUUUCAUCUGUGCCUGCUGUGCUCGCGUCAGUUUUGGCCGAGAAGGCACAUCACCCCUUUUUGUUUCCAAAUUAUUUAAAAUUUGCAAAAAAAACCAGGAUAAAAUAAUAGUCCAAAUACAGUAAUUCCAAUUUAAUGGUAUAACUUGUGUAAUUUUCACUAUAUCUUAAAAUGGUUUCCAAAAAAUUUUAAACUUCAAAACCAGAAUCCAAUAACUUUUACCAAGCUUAUAAGUACCCUACUAUUUUACAAAAUUGGCAUGACAUUUUUAGGAAGACUUUUUUCUCUGUUUUUGUCGUGCUCUUAUUUUUGCCCAUUAAAUUGCGACGAUAGAUUACGUCGUUGACGAGGGAAUUGGACCAGAAGACUUUGAAGACCCCGGAUACUUUAUUGAGCCAGGCAAACAACCCUUUGACCGUAUCUAGGCCUGGGCAUUCGGUUUAACCGAGCCAAUCGGUCCGUUUUUUGGGUAUUAAAAUAUUUCGGUUUCUUUAAACUGUAGACCGGUCGGUCCCUUAAAAAUUGCAUAAUCGAUAUUUUUUGGAACCAAUAAUUCGGUUCGAUCAUCGGUUUUGACUGAACCAAACUCAAGUUCACACAUAGUGUAUAGUAAUUUUCCUUUUUAGCAUGACUAUGCCGCUCGUGCAAAUGAAAUGGAUGGAAGUUGCUACCUUUAUAAGGCUGCGUACGCUUCCUUACUCAACAACAUUCGAGGUGGUACUAAACCAAAAGCACAUGUGGACGUGAAAAACUGUAUGGGCCGACUGCUAGAUCAAUCUUGGGCCUUAACAAACGUGUACGUGACGAAAACUGAGAUACGUCGUCCUGCUGAGCCAGUUCGGCUAGGAAAGCGACUAGCAAGGACAGAAAAUACAGGGAGGAGGAUGGCGUGUUAUUUAUUUUCGGUUUUUAAGCCUUUUUGGUUAAUUAAAUGUAAAAUCUGAAUUUUCCAAAUAAAUUUGGGUUCUGCAAAUUCAAGGACCAAAAUAGGACACAUAAUUUUCGGUUUCGGUUCAUUCGGUCUCGGUCUUGGUCCUUUCGGUUCGGUACAUCGGUUCUCGGUUAAUAUGCCCACCCCUAACCGUAUCUAAGAUGUUGGGAUCUACGUAGGUGCAUCGCAUGCGAUUUAAAAAUUCCUACGCGCAGAACAUCCAAGAACAUGCUAUGGAGAUGGAUCACAUAUUGUUACCACUAGACGCGCAGUGUCGUGCAGCGGAAGUAGAGUUGGGGUAGCGCGCCCGCGUGGUUCAUAUUCUCCUUGUCCGUUCUCCCUCGUGCAGCUGGUCCAAUCUCCAUCGUGAGGUCGGUCACCGGAUCUCGCGUACAGGCUCGCCGGAGCGGCACAAGUGCACCGCCUCUAAUGGUACCCGCACGUGCAGGAGGAACACACCGUGCGGCAGACUGCUAGGUCCGAUCACACGGUCGGUGAUAACCCAUAAGUAUAGGGGAUCGCAACAGUUUUCGAGGGUAGAGUAUUCAACCCAAAUUUGUUGAUUCGACACAAGGUGAAGCCAAAGAAUAUUCUCAAGUAUUAGCAGUUGAGUUGUCAAUUCAACCACACCUGAAAGACUUGUAUCUGCAGCAAAGUAUCAGUAGCAAAGUAGUGUGAUAGCAACAGUAGCAACGGGAAUGGUAGCAACAGUGACAACAGUAGCGACAGAGUAACAAUAGCAGCAGUGACAACAGUAGUGACAGAGAAACAGUAGCAGCAGUAGCGACAGAGUAACAGUAGCAACAACGGCAUCAAUAGCGGCAAAGUGACGUAGCGAGGACCAGUAGGAAAAACUCGUAGGCAUUGGAUCGGUGAUGGAUAAUUAUGCCGGAUGAUAUUCAUCAUGCAACAGUUAUAACAUGAAGAGAUAAGUAACUAGCUCCAGUUCAUCAAUGUAAUGUAGGCAUGUAUUCCGUAUAUAGUCAUACGUGCUUAUGAAAAGAACUUGCAUGACAUCUAUUGUCCAUCCCUCCCAUGGCAGCGGGGUCCUAAUGGAAACUACGUGAUAUUAAGGUUCUCCUUUUAAUAGAUAACCGGAACAACGCAUUAACACUUGGUGAAUACAUGAACUCCUCAUACUAUGGUCAUCUCCGGGAGUGGUUCCGGCUAUUGUCACUCCGGGGUUGCCGGGUCAUAACACAUAGUAGGUGACUACAACUUGCAAGAUAGGAUCUAGAACACACAUAUAUUGACGAGAACAUAAUAGGUUCGGAUCUGAAAUCAUGGCACAUGGGCCCUAGUGACAAGCAUUAAGCAUGGCCAAGUAGUAGCAACAUCAAUCUCAGAACAUAGUGGAUACUAGGGAUCAAUCCCCAUCAAAACUAACUCGAUUACAUGAUAGAUGUCAUCCAACCCAUCACCGUCCAGCAAGCCUACGAUGAGAUUACUCACAAACGGUGAAGAGCAUCAUGGAAUUGGCGAUGAAGGAAGGUUGGUAAUGACGAUGGCGACGAUUUCCCCUCUCCGGAGCCCAGAACGGGAUCCGGAUCUGCCCUCCAGAGGAAGAAUAGGAGGUGGCGGCGCCUCCGUAUCGUAAAACGCGAUGAACUCUUCUCCUUGAUUUUUUCGAAUGAAAGGGACUAAAUAGAGCUGGAGUUGAGGCGGUGGAGCUCCGUGGGCCCCACAAGCCUGCUAGGUGUGGCCAUGGGGGGCGCCUGGUGGGCUUGUGGGAUCCUCGCUCCACUUCUUUGGUUGAUUCUUGUGCCAGUAUUUUUUAUAUAUUCCACAAAAAAUCCUCGUAAAUUUUCAGGUCAUUCCGAGAACUUCUAUUUCUACGCAAAAACAACACCAUGGCAAUUCUGCUGAAAACAACGUUAGUCCGGGUUAGUUCCAUUCAAAUCAUGCNNNNNNNNNNNNNNNNNNNNNNNNNNNNNNNNNNNNNNNNNNNNNNNNNNNNNNNNNNNNNNNNNNNNNNNNNNNNNNNNNNNNNNNNNNNNNNNNNNNNGGCUUGUGGCCCCCCUGGAUCUCCCCUGCCCUAGCUCUUUGGCCUAUUUAUUCCCUAAAAUCCCAGAAAAAAUAAGGGCGUCCACGAAACCACUUUAUCGCCGCCGCAAGCUUCUGUUUCCGCGAGAUCUCAUCUGGAGACCCUUCCCGGUGCCGUGCCGGAGGGGGCUUUGGAGCUGGAGGGCUUCUACAUCAACAUCAUUGCCUCUCCAAUGACUCGUGAGUAGUCCACUUCAGACCUAUGGGUCCGUAGUUAGUAGCUAGAUGGCUUCUUCUCUCUCUUGGAUCUUCAAUACAAAGUUCUCCAUGAUCUUCAUGGAGAUCUAUCUGAUGUAAUCCUCUUUGGCGGUGUGUUUGUCGAGAUCCGAUGAAUUGUGGAUUUGUGAUCAGAUUAUCUAUGAAUUAUNAAUUAUAUUUGAGUCUUUGCUCAUUUCUUAUAUACAUGAUUUGAUAUCCUUGUAAGUCUCUCCGAGUCUUGGGUUUUGUUUGGCCAACUAGAUCUAUGAUUCUUGCAAUGGGAGAAGUGCUUGGUUUUGGGUUCAUACCGUGCGGUGACCUUUCCUAGUGACAGAAGGGGCAGCAAGGCACGCAUCAUGUUGUUGCCAUCAAGGGUAACAAGAUGGGCUUUCUUCAUAGAUUUGAGAUUGUCCAUCUACAUCAUGUCAUCUUGCUUAAGGCGUUACUCUGUUCUUAUGAACUCAAUACACUAGAUGCAUGUUGGAUAGCGGUCGAUGUGUGGAGUAAUAGUAGUAGAUGUAGAAAGUAUCGGUCUACUUGUUUUGGACGUGAUGCCUAUAUGUAUGAUCAUUGACAUAGAUAACGUCAUGACUUUGCGCGGUUCUAUCAAUUGCUCGACAGUAAUUCGUUCACCCACCAUCUACUUGCUUUCAUGAGAGAUGCCUUUUUCGAUAAGUAAGAGUGUCGAACCCAACUAGGAGCAGAAGGAUCUGACAAGUGGUUUUCAGCAAGGUAAUAUCUGCAAGCACUGAAAUUAUCGGUAACAAGUAGUUGUGUGGUGAGAUGAUUCGUAGCAAGUAGCAAGUAACAAAAGUAGCAACGGUGCAGCAAAGUGUCCCAAUCCCUUUUGUAGCAAGGGACAAGCCUGGACAAAGUCUUAUAGGAGGAAAAACGCUCCCGAGGACACAUGGGAAUUUCUGUCAAGCUAGUUUUCAUGAUGUUCAUAUGAUUCGCGUUCGUUACUUUGAUAGUUUGAUAUGUGGGUGGACCGGUGCUUGGGUACUGCCCUUACUUGGACAAGAAUCCCACUUAUGAUUAACCCCUCUCGCAAGCAUCCGCAACUACAAAAGAAGAAUUAAGACAAAGUCUAACCAUAGCAUUAAACUAGUGGAUCCCAAUGAGCCCCUUACGAAGCAACACAUAAACUAGGGUUUAAGCUUAUGUCACUCUAGCAACCCAUCAUCUACUUACUACUUCUGAAUGCCUUCCUCUAGGCCNNNNNNNNNNNNNNNNNNNNNNNNNNNNNNNNNNNNNNNNNNNNNNNNNNNNNNNNNNNNNNNNNNNNNNNNNNNNNNNNNNNNNNNNNNNNNNNNNNNNCGGAAGGUUUUCGGAGUUACCGGGAAUGUACCGGGAAUGACGAAUGGGUUCCGGGAGUUCACCGGGGGGGGCAACCCACCCCGGGGAAGCCCAUAGGCAUUGGGGGAGUCACACCAGCCCUUAGUGGGCUGGUGGGACAGCCCACAAGUGCCCAAUGCGCCAAGAGAAGAAAAAUCAAGAGGAAAGAAAAAAAAAGGAAGGAGGUGGGAAGGAAGGGGGACUCCUCCCACCAAACCAAGUCCAACUCGGUUUGGGGGGGAGUCCUCCCCCCCCCUUGGCUCGGCCGACUUCUUGGGGGUCCUUGGACCCCAAGGCAAGGCCCCCCCCUCCCUCCUCCUAUAUAUAUGGAGCAAUUAGGGCUGAUUUGAGACGACUCUCUCACGGCUGCCCGACCACAUACCUCCACGGUUUUUCCUCUAGAUCGCGUUUCUGCGGAGCUCGGGCGGAGCCCUGCUGAGACAAGGUCAUCACCAACCUCCGGAGCGCCUUUACGCUGCCGGGGAACUCUUCUACCUCUCCGUNACAAGGUCAUCACCAACCUCCGGAGCGCCUUUACGCUGCCGGGGAACUCUUCUACCUCUCCGUCUCUCUUGCUGGAUCAAGAAGGCCGAGAUCAUCGUCGAGUUGUACGUGUGCUGAACGCGGAGGUGCCGUCCGUUCGGUACUAGAUCGUGGGACUGAUCGCGGGAUUGUUCGUGGGGCGGAUCGAGGGACGUGAGGACGUUCCACUACAUCAACCGCGUUCUCUAACGCUUCUUCUGUACGAUCUACAAGGGUACGUAGAUCACUCAUCCCCUCUCGUAGAUGGACAUCACCAUGAUAGGUUUUCGUGCGCGUAGGAAUUUUUUUUGUUUCCCAUGCGACGUUCCCCAAUAGCAAGCCCCACCCAAAGUGUAAACUCAAAACAACGGACAACUGCAUUAACGAACUAUGCGUAAGGUAAACAAUCCUUGCAGCCGUGGUCACAAGCACCGUUGUUUUCUACCUGGUGGCAACAAGCACAUCCCCUAGUCUCAUGUUUCUGUCACUAAAGCUAGACAUCGAGGGGCAUGAACCCAUAAUCAUGCAUAACGCUCCCUCUUGGAGUUACAAUCUACUACUCGGCCAAAGCAAUAAAUAGCAACGGAGANNNNNNNNNNNNNNNNNNNNNNNNNNNNNNNNNNNNNNNNNNNNNNNNNNNNNNNNNNNNNNNNNNNNNNNNNNNNNNNNNNNNNNNNNNNNNNNNNNNNACAAUUGAGCAAUGAGCUACCUGCAGAAUCAUGGCUCUCCAAGUAGCAUUUUACUUUCUAAUAACACAGAUGUGAACGAAGCUAGUUGCAGGUUCAUAUGUGUUGACACAAUAUGCCAGAAGAAUAUUCUCUGUUGCCUGCUUGCACCUUUUUUCUGCUGGAGCAUUCUUUCUUUCCACGUGUCUUAUAACUUUGUGCUAGAUAAUGACAGUAUAUCUAACCCUUUGCAGGUGAGACCACCAUCAGAGCGUCAAUGCUGCACCAUGGGCGCAAUAGCACUUGAUUAGGCCUUCCAGCAAUCCCAAUGCAUGAUUGAUCAUAUUUCAUGGUUCAACGACUUCAGACAUGCCGCCCGUAGUAGUGCGAGAGUUCAUCCUGUGUUACAUAGGAGUUGUCGAACCAUCGGAAUUAGAUCUCAUAUGUUCCUGUUGGUAGCAUGUAAAUUUGGGUGUCAAACUGCUUUGUGGGUGUGUAUUGGUUACCCACCUCAGAUAUGUGUAAAAGGCCGCAUAGAAACGGAGGAAAUGACUGGGCCCGUGUUGUUUACACUUUGUUACUGCAAUGAUAUCCAGUAGCAUUUUCACGGGAAAGAUGGCUUGAGUUGACCGGAAAGUUACCAAUAAAGCAUGUUGGCUUUAAAUUUGAGUUUAUGUUAUCCUGUUUGCGUGGGAUGAUAUCAUGGCUUGGUUUUGCUUUUCUGCAGCAAAUUUUUAUGUUCCCUCGGUGAGCAACUACUAGUAAAGAUUAUGAGUGUUGCAGCGAUGGUAAGUCGCAAAGUAGCAUGCACUUUCAAUGACUAGUGGGCAGUGGUCGUGGGGCAGCAAGAUGGUGCUGAGUGAGUGGAUGCUUUUGACGGGAAGGUGUCCGUUUUGCUACUAAAAUAUCUGUAUAAUCGCACCCUCACAGGCUUGGUUUAGUCUGAAAUUGUGUAGUGUAUUGCUAAAUAAUCGCUAAGGGACACACGGGGCUGCUAAAGAGUGGCGUCUGCUUUGGCAAUGUCCCUGUCGCCGGAUGCUUCUGCUUCAUUUGCACUUCUAUAGUUCUAUUCUCUCUCGGCAUGGUUUUUUGCUGGAGUAGUAGUAUACUGAGCAUCGAAAGAAAACAUGUUUGUUUCCCAAGUCACAUGUUGAGGUUGGCGCGAUCCGAU
rnacentral:lncRNA from 1 species